rnacentral:rRNA from 1 species
CCUACGGGCGGCAGCAGUGGGGAAUAUUGCACAAUGGGGGAAACCCUGAUGCAGCGACGCCGCGUGAGUGAAGAAGUAAUUCGUUACGUAAAGCUCUAUCAGCAGGGAAGAAAUACUGACCUUACGGUCAGCAGACGGUACCUGAGUAAGAAGCCCCGGCUAACUACGUGCCAGCAGCCGCGGUAAUACGUAGGGGGCAAGCGUUAUCCGGAUUUACUGGGUGUAAAGGGAGCGUAGACGGUGCGCCAAGUCUGGAGGGAAAUGCCGCAGCUUAACUGCGGAACUGCGUUGGAAACUGGCGAACUAGAGUGCGGGAUGGGUAAGCGGAAUUCCUAGUGUAGCGGUGAAAUGCGUAGAUAUUAGGAGGAACACCGGUGGCGAAGGCGGCUUACUGGACCGUAACUGACGUUGAGGCUCGAAAGCGUGGGGAGCAAACAGGAUUAGAUACCCGAGUAGUC